rnacentral:rRNA from 1 species
AUUGAACGCUAGCGGCAUGCCUUACACAUGCAAGUCGAACGGAGUGGCGAACGGGGGAGUAAUGUAUAGGAACGUGCCCAGUAGCGGUGGAUAACUACGCGAAAGCGUAGCUAAUACCGCAUACUUUUGGCGCGGCUGAUAUCGGAUUAGCUAGUUGGUGGGGUAACGGGUCACCAGGGCGACGAUCCGUAGCUGGUUUGAGAGGACGACCAGCCACACUGGGACUGAGACACGGCCCAGACUCCUACGGGAGGCAGCAGUGGGGAAUGUUGGACAAUGGGGGAAAGCCUGAUCCAGCCAUCCCGCGUGUGCGAUGAAGGCCUUCGGGUUGUAAAGCACUUUUGGCAGGAAAGCGGUACCUGCAGAAGAAGCACCGGCUAACUACGUGCCAGCCGCCGCGGUAAUUC